rnacentral:lncRNA from 1 species
GUAUCAAGGAAUGUUAAUUAAUUAUAUGAGUAUUGCUUUAAUUCAACUAGCUAGUAGUUUUCUUCUACUUAUUGAUUAAAGGAUAUUCAUUAUUUUAUUCUUUCAUUUUAAAUAGUGAUGCUUCUAAUGAAUAAGAUUUUCAAUUCGUAUUUGGACUGUUCUUGUCAAUAGAAAAAGUAUGUCGAUUUGUCUUAUGAACUAGUGAGUUUUCUCAACCCCAAUCUUGGGUCAUGAUAUUUCUCCUAUUUUGGGCCGGGUAUAUUGGGCCCAUUUAUCAGUUUAAUCUGUUGGGCUUUUAUAAUUAAGCCAUGGGGCUCGUUGAGCCCAUUUAUUGUGUCAACUUUAUUUAAUCCUAUUGGACCGGGUUGGUUCGUUGGAUUAACCCAUUGGGUCAUUUAAUAUCUAUUACUUUGACUUGUAAUGAUGAUAUAGUAUGACAGUUGACCAAGAUAUCUGCCAUGCAUUAAUGUGGAUGGGAUUAUAGCCGGCCGGCGGCGCAAACAGUGGCCAAGAGCAGUGGAUAAACUCCAUGUAGUCGGUCGAACCCAUCAGAUCAUGGGGAUAUGUCAGGUGGUAGUGGGUGGCAUAGUAAUCCAGGCAAAGACAUUAUUUCUUAGUGAGUAAGUCUUCACAAGGAGGUACGUUUUAUUCAUAUAUACACAUUCACACAACAUAUAGAAAAUGAUCACUCUCAAUACGCUAAAUUCUAUUAUCCUCUUGAGUUAACUUUGUGAACAGACAUACUUACUCUCACGCCUGAGCUAUCCCUCGGCGGUCCGGCCGUCAAGCUUGUGGUGUUUGUCGUGUUUACUGUGCAGGAUCAGGACGUCUUUCGUGAUUGGGACGUGGAGAAAGAUCUUGGCGUUAACAUUGGCGCUAGAAGGAGGGGCGUUUUAGUGUCUUGAGUAUUUUUCAAUCACAGAGUGUGUUUUAUUCUAUUCAUUUUUCAUGGAAAAGAGUAGAACACCUACACCCGAAGGACAACCGAUGUCUGUCAGUGAGUCAUUACCGUGGGUAUCUGUCAAGGAUCAUUUGGGACCAACCCUAAGUGUGCAUGCUAGCACGGCGUCUAAACGGUCACCUGAACAUUCUCGACCGAAGGCAGUAGGCAAAGCAAAGCGUAAGCUAGUAUACCCGACGGAGAAGGGGUCUGGCCAUGGUC